GAUGAACGCUGGCGGCGUGCCUAAUACAUGCAAGUCGAGCGAACAGAUGAGGAGCUUGCUCCUCUGACGUUAGCGGCGGACGGGUGAGUAACACGUGGAUAACCUACCUAUAAGACUGGGAUAACUUCGGGAAACCGGAGCUAAUACCGGAUAAUAUAUUGAACCGCAUGGUUCAAUAGUGAAAGACGGUUUUGCUGUCACUUAUAGAUGGAUCCGCGCCGCAUUAGCUAGUUGGUAAGGUAACGGCUUACCAAGGCAACGAUGCCUAGCCGACCUGAGAGGGUGAUCGGCCACACUGGAACUGAGACACGGUCCAGACUCCUACGGGAGGCAGCAGUAGGGAAUCUUCCGCAAUGGGCGAAAGCCUGACGGAGCAACGCCGCGUGAGUGAUGAAGGUCUUCGGAUCGUAAAACUCUGUUAUUAGGGAAGAACAAAUGUGUAAGUAACUAUGCACGUCUUGACGGUACCUAAUCAGAAAGCCACGGCUAACUACGUG
rnacentral:rRNA from 1 species